UUAUCGCAACAUAGGUAUACGAAAAUCAAUAAUUUAGAUUAAAGUGUCAGCUUGGUUGACAAGACAAAAUUGAGAGACCAAUUAAAAUGUUGUGGUCAGUUAUGAAAUUAUGUAACGAUAAUUUUCAUUGGUAAAACGAAGAAAACCUGGGAUCUCUAAGCACGUGAGCAACGACCUUUUUAAGCUAGUGUUUUGGGCUAUUCGUCAGUUGCCAUGAGAUCUCAGUUAUAAUAAAAUAUAGUUAUUUUGGAAUUCUUCGUUUUUACCAGGAGAUUUGUGAAUUUGAAGCAUAAUUUAUUCGUAGUAAAGUUUAAUUCUGUUAUUUGGUUAUAUUUAAUAUUCAACGAAGUUUAGAGAAAUCUUUGUGUGUCACUUUGGUUUACCUUGACAACGCAACAGAACAUAGAGAAAAUAUUUGUUGUUUCGUGUAUAUUGAAAUCGUACCGAUGCAGGAUUGAUCUCCAGAACAGAAAUAUUUGCGUAUUACGUAAUAGCAAGAAACAUUUAAUAUAUUACAGCUGGACAUUAUCUAUGUAUGAUGAACUAUAAAUAUUGUGAAAUAUAUUGUAUGCAUUUAUUUGAAAUUGUAUUAUAGAGUUGCCAUGAGAUCUCAGUUGUAAUAAAAUAUAGUUAUUUUGGAA